rnacentral:rRNA from 1 species
AUGUCGGGGCGCGGCAAGGGCGGCAAGGGGCUCGGCAAGGGCGGCGCGAAGCGCCACCGCAAGGUCCUGCGCGACAACAUCCAGGGCAUCACCAAGCCGGCGAUCCGGAGGCUGGCCCGGAGGGGCGGCGUGAAGCGCAUCUCGGGGCUCAUCUACGAGGAGACCCGCGGCGUGCUCAAGAUCUUCCUCGAGAACGUCAUCCGCGACGCCGUCACCUACACCGAGCACGCCCGCCGCAAGACCGUCACCGCCAUGGACGUCGUCUACGCGCUCAAGCGCCAGGGCCGCACCCUCUACGGCUUCGGCGGCUGA